UUUCGCAAUGCCCGAAAGGGUGACGAAGCGACGCCGCGUGGGUGAGGAAGGCCUUCGGGUUGUAAAGCCCUGUCAGGAGUUAAGAAAUGUAAGUGCGCUAAUACCGCAUUUAUUUGACGAAGGCUCCAAAGGAAGUCACGGCUAACUCUGUGCCAGCAGCCGCGGUAAUACAGAGGUGGCAAGCGUUGUUCGGAAUUAUUGGGCGUAAAGAGCACGUAGGUGGGUUUGUAAGUCAGAUGUGAAAGCCUCCUGUUCAACGGGAGAAUUGCAUCUGAAACUACAGAUCUUGAGUGUAGGAGGGGAGAAUGGAACUUCUGGUGGAGCGGUGAAAUGCGUAGAUAUCAGAAGGAACGCCGGCGGCGAAAGCGAUUCUCUGGCCUAUUACUGACACUCAGUGUGCGAAAGCUAGGGUAGCAAACGGGAUUAGAUACCCCGGUAGUCCUAGCCGUAAACGAUGGGCACUAAGUAGAGGGGUUUUA
rnacentral:rRNA from 1 species